rnacentral:lncRNA from 1 species
AAACCUCUUUUAGAGGAUACCUGGUACGUAUUCCAUAAUUUGCUUCUUCUUUGUAAUUAGUUUAAAACAAAAUAUUAAUUAAUUUGAGGGCGUGAUUUUGAUCUCAGGCAAGGAGAGCAUUGAGAGCGCUGAAAGGGCUAGUGAAGCUGCAAGCAUUGGUGAGGGGACACAACGUCAGGAAGCAAGCCAAGACCACAUUGCGAUGUAUGCAAGCUCUGGUUCGAGUCCAGGCUCAAAUCCUUGAUCAGCGGAUGCGCCUUUCCCACGACGGCUACACCCGCAAAUCUACAUUCAGUGACACCACCAGCCUCAUUGAGUCCCUCUACUUGCAAGACCUCUCCGACCGAAAAUCCAUGGUAUCUAUCUAACCUAAUUUCGUAAGAAAAUUGUUCAAUAGAGAUAGAAACAUUACCUGACAUUGAUCUCCUUGGGAUUUCUUUAACAGCAGUCUAGAGAAGGAUGCAGCAAUGCAGACGAUUGGGACGAAAGGCCACACUCGAUUGAGGAAGUCAAAGCUAUGUUGCAGCAAAGGAAAGAUCAUGCCGCCGCUUUGAAGCGUGA